AUGCUCGCUUCAGCAGCACAUAUACUAAAAUUGGAACGAUACAGAGAAGAUUAGCAUGGCCCCUGUGCAAGGAUGACAAUCAAAUUCGUGAAGCGUUCCCUAUUUUU
rnacentral:snRNA from 1 species